AAUCAACGCUGGCGGCGCGCUUAACACAUGCAAGUCGAACGAGAAAGUGGAGCAAUCCAUGAGUACAGUGGCGUACGGGUGAGUAACACGUGGGUAAUCUAACUCUUAGUGUGGAAUAACUCUGGGAAACCGGAGCUAAUACCGCAUAAGCUCGAGAGAGGAAAGCAGCAAUGCGCUGAGAGAGGAGCCCGCGGCCGAUUAGCUAGUUGGUGAGGUAAAAGCCCACCAAGGCAAAGAUCGGUAGCCGGCCUGAGAGGGCACACGGCCACA
rnacentral:rRNA from 1 species